UACGGGGGGGGCGAGCGUUAUUCGGAAUUAUUGGGCGUAAAGGGCGCGUAGGCGGCUUCGUAAGUCAAAGGUGAAAUCCCUCGGCUCAACCGAGGAACCGCCCUUGAAACUGCGUGGCUUGAGGCCGGGAGGGGGCAGUGGAAUUCCCAGUGUAGCGGUGAAAUGCGUAGAUAUUGGGAGGAACACCAGUGGCGAAGGCGGCUGCCUGGACCGGUUCUGACGCUGAUGCGCGAAAGCGUGGGUAGCAAACAGG
rnacentral:misc_RNA from 1 species